rnacentral:antisense_RNA from 1 species
GCGGCCCGUAGUCCUUCUGCGAGGGCGCGAGGACCCCAGGAGCAGUCCUGGUUCGGGCAUUUUUGAAGAAACUGAGUUCCCGGCGUUCGCAGCCUGGGAGUCACAGGCGCCCACCCACCGAUAUGCAAUUUCACUUACAGGAUCUUGUUCUUCAGUGACAUGUCAUAAGAGUUAAUAAUUCCACAAGCCACCCUGCACUGCUGUGAUCCUAACAAUAUUGAAAGAGUCUUGCUCUGUCACCCAGGCUGGAGUGAGGAAGCCCUAAUAUAUAAUCUUCAUCAACUGUUAAUCUGGAAGCCUCACCACAUUGCUUUUUGGAUUAGCAGAAUGCCAUCCUGGGGAAUCCCAGCAGAAAGGAAGAAAGGAGUACUGUCAGUCUUACUGGUCACCCCUGGCCAAGGCCCAGUCAUGACCCUUCCUUCCAUCUCCAUUUGAUCCCAUCAUAAACCUCAAGAAAAGUAAAAAGCAUCAUCAUCUUAGGAAAAA